CUGUAGCUCUUCAAUUUGCUGACUUUGAGUCUUGGCACUGGGAGAAUUCACAGUUGACUUUAUUAUUCUGUGGUUCUGCGGGUGCCAAAACUUAAAAACCGGCUUUGUACAACGAUUUCUA
rnacentral:pre_miRNA from 15 species